GACGAACGCUGGCGGCGUGCUUAACACAUGCAAGUCGAACGGAAAGGCCCUGCUUUUGUGGGGUGCUCGAGUGGCGGACGGGUGAGUAACACGUGAGUAACCUGCCCUUGACUUUGGGAUAACUUCAGGAAACUGGGGCUAAUACCGGAUAGGAGCUCCUGCUGCAUGGUGGGGGUUGGAAAGUUUCGGCGGUUGGGGAUGGACUCGCGGCUUAUCAGCUUGUUGGUGGGGUAGUGGCUUACCAAGGCUUUGACGGGUAGCCGGCCUGAGAGGGUGACCGGCCACAUUGGGACUGAGAUACGGCCCAGACGCCUACGGGAGGCAGCAGUGGGGAAUAUGGCACAAUGGGCGGAAGCCUGAUGCAGCAACGCCGCGUGCGGGAUGACGGCCUUCGGGUUGUAAACCGCUUUCGCCUGUGACGAAGCGUGAGUGACGGUAAUGGGUAAAGAAGCACCGGCUAACUACGUG
rnacentral:rRNA from 1 species